GGGGCCGUCGUCUAGCCUGGCUAGGAUGCCAGCCUGGGGCGCUGGUGGUCCCGGGUUCAAAUCCCGGCGGCCCCACCA
rnacentral:tRNA from 6 species